UACGUAGGGACCGAGCGUUGUCCGGAAUCAUUGGGCGUAAAGAGCGUGUAGGCGGUUCGGUAAGUCUGCCGUGAAAACCUGGGGCUCAACUCCGGGCCUGCAGCCGAUACGGGCAGACUAGAAUUCGGUAGGGGAGACUGGAAUUCCUGGUGUAGCGGUGAAAUGCGCAGAUAUCAGGAGGAACACCGGUGGCGAAGGCGGGUCUCUGGGCCGAUAUUGACGCUGAGGAGCGAAAGCGUGGGGAGCAAACAGG
rnacentral:rRNA from 1 species